rnacentral:rRNA from 1 species
UGCUGCUUUGCUGACGAGUGGCGGACUGGUGAGUAAUGUCUGGGAAACUGCCUGAUGGAGGGGGAUAACUACUGGAAACGGUGGCUAAUACCGCAUAACGUCGCAAGACCAAAGAGGGGGACCUUCGGGCCUCUUGCCAUCAGAUGUGCCCAGAUGGGAUUAGCUUGUUGGUGAGGUAACGGCUCACCAAGGCGACGAUCCCUAGCUGGUCUGAGAGGAUGACCAGCCACACUGGAACUGAGACACGGUCCAGACUCCUACGGGAGGCAGCAGUGGGGAAUAUUGCACAAUGGGCGCAAGCCUGAUGCAGCCAUGCCGCGUGUAUGAAGAAGGCCUUCGGGUUGUAAAGUACUUUCAGCGGGGAGGAAGGUGUUGCGGUUAAUAACCGCAGCAAUUGACGUUACCCGCAGAAGAAGCACCGGCUAACUCCGUGCCAGCAGCCGCGGUAAUACGGAGGGUGCAAGCGUUAAUCGGAAUUACUGGGCGUAAAGCGCACGCAGGCGGUCUGUCAAGUCGGAUGUGAAAUCCCCGGGCUCAACCUGGGAACUGCAUUCGAAACUGGCAGGCUUGAGUCUUGUAGAGGGGGGUAGAAUUCCAGGUGUAGCGGUGAAAUGCGUAGAGAUCUGGAGGAAUACCGGUGGCGAAGGCGGCCCCCUGGACAAAGACUGACGCUCAGGUGCGAAAGCGUGGG